rnacentral:rRNA from 1 species
GUUUGAUCCUGGCUCAGGAUGAACGCUGGCGGCGUGCCUAACACAUGCAAGUCGAACGGUGGUAGCAAUACUACAGUGGCGCACGGGUGAGUAACACGUAGCUAACCUGCCCUCAAGCCUGGGAUAACGGCUCGAAAGAGCUGCUAAUACCACAUAAGCUCACAGCCUGCAGAGGGCGGUGAGAAAAGGGGCAACUCGCUUGAGGAGGGGGCUGCGGCCAAUCAGGUAGUUGGUGGGGUAAAAGCCUACCAAGCCGACGACGGGUAGGGGGCCUGAGAGGGUGGUCCCCCACACUGGGACUGAGACACGGCCCAGACUCCUACGGGAGGCUGCAGUGAGGGAUAUUGGGCAAUGGGCGCAAGCCUGACCCAGCGACGCCGCGUGGGUGAAGAAGGUCUUCGGAUCGUAAAACCCUUUUCUGCGUGACGAGCAAGGACGGUAGCGCAGGAAGAAGUCUCGGCUAACUACGUGCCAGCAGCCGCGGUAAAACGUAGGAGGCAAGCGUUAUCCGGAGUUACUGGGCGUAAAGGGCGUGCAGGCGGCCUGAUAAGUUCGUUGUGAAAGCAUCUGGCUAAACCGGGUGAGGUCAAGGGAUACUGUCAGGCUAGAGGACGGUAGAGGCGGGUGGAAUUCCGGGUGUAGUGGUGAAAUGCGUAGAGAUCCGGAGGAACACCAGAGGCGAAGGCGACCCGCUGGGCCGUACCUGACGCUGAGACGCGACAGCAUGGGGAGCGAACGGGAUUAGAAACCCCGGUAGUCCAUGCCGUAAACGAUGCCAACUAGGCGUUCGUGGCCCGCGAGGGCUGGGGGUGCCGUAGGAAACCCGCUAAGUUGGCCGCCUGGGGAGUACGGUCGCAAGGCUAAAACUCAAAGGAAUUGACGGGGGCCCGCACAAGCAGCGGAGCGUGUGGUUUAAUUCGAGGCUACACGAAGAACCUUACCUGGGUUUGACAUGACGAUAGUAGGGAAGCGAAAGCGGACCGACCUUCGGGAGUCGUCACAGGUGCUGCAUGGCUGUCGUCAGCUCGUGUCGUGAGAUGUUCGGUUAAGUCCGCAAACGAGCGCAACCCUCGGGCUUAGUUACACGUGUCUAAGCCGACUGCCCGUGAGAAACGGGAGGAAGGUGGGGAUGACGUCAAGUCAGCAUGGCCUUUAUAUCCAGGGCUACACACACGCUACAAUGGGCGGUACAGUGGGUUGCCAAGUCGCGAGACGGAGCCAAUCCCGAAAGCCGUUCCCAGUUCGGAUUGCAGGCUGCAACCCGCCUGCAUGAAGUCGGAGUUGCUAGUAACCGCGCGUCAGCCAUAGCGCGGUGAAUACGUUCCCGGGCCUUGUACACACCGCCCGUCACGUCAUGGGAGCUGGUCACGCCUGAAGUCGGGAAGGUAACCGCAAGGAGCCUACCGCCGAGGGCAGGGCCGGUGACUGGGACGAAGUCGUAACAAGGUA